GGCAAACCGUUAAUUAGAAUACGUCAGAAGAAUCAGCAGACAAAGCAAGAAUGUGGAUAUCAACCACCCAAAAAGGCCAAGGACCCUGGACGAUAAUCUCAAACUCUCCAGACUAAUUUUCUUCCCAAGGCCUCGUAGAAUGUUUCCCACCGAAAGCUCAGUGCACAAUACUAUCUGUUACACAUGGAUACCAGCAAUAAUACACGAGGGGCUCCCGCAUAAGAGGCAGCAAGCUCUGUGCUCAUCUGCGUCUGAGUCUCAUCCUGCAAUGGAGUUUCUGCUCACGCCAUAGCCACCAUCAUCAGCAAUUAGAACAAAAGUAUUCUGUUUGUAAUAUUUGUUCCUCUGUAUUUUACCUAUGCAAUGUGAUGUUUGUCAUCUAGUGCCAUAUGAAUAAAGUGUUUGCCUUAGAGUAGCA
rnacentral:lncRNA from 1 species